rnacentral:rRNA from 1 species
GAGUUUGAUCUUGGCUCAGAUUGAACGCUGGCGGCAGGCCUAACACAUGCAAGUCGAGCGGUAGAGAGAAGCUUGCUUCUCUUGAGAGCGGCGGACGGGUGAGUAAUGCCUAGGAAUCUGCCUGGUAGUGGGGGAUAACGCUCGGAAACGGACGCUAAUACCGCAUACGUCCUACGGGAGAAAGCAGGGGACCUUGGGCCUUGCGCUAUCAGAUGAGCCUAGGUCGGAUUAGCUAGUUGGUGAGGUAAUGGCUCACCAAGGCGACGAUCCGUAACUAGGUCUGAGAGGAUGAUCAGUCACACUGGAACUGAGACACGGUCCAGACUCCUACGGGAGGCAGCAGUGGGAA